UUUAUGUUGACAACUACUACCAGUAAAUUAAUUUUCCCUAAUUUAAUCCAUCAAACUCAAACCAAAACCAAAUAGCACCAUAAGUUUUUCACAAUCUAAUUAUCCCAGAUCAUCUCCACAUAUUGUUAUUUGUUGGUACUAAAAGUUUUGAGCUAGAGAUCAAAAGCUUUAAGUUUAUCUGUUUGUGAACAUCAAAAAUGGCAUCAAGAAAACUAGUUAUCUUACUUGCAAUGAUAACAUUUUCACUUGCAAUUUUAUCAACUUUUAUGUUUCCAUCCAAACAUGCAAUAUCUCCACUUUUCCCUGCAUUUACUGUUACUGAUCCUCAUCUUUCUGAAAUGAGUCCCAAAGUUAGUGAUCCAGAAAAACCUUUCCUGCUGCUGAAUGAUCUCCAAAGUAUCAGAAAUUUGGAUGAAGGAACAUGAACCUUACCAUCAUAAUCAAUCAUUUGGUAUUAUGUUUUCAACUUGGAUGAAGGAUGCUGUUGCAAUAUUCAUGUAUUUCCAAACAGUUAUUAGCAUGUAAUAUGUAAUUUAUUCAGCCACUUUCUCA